GCGGGGCGGCCCGGCGGGGGCGCGGGGCGGGCAGGAGACAGCCUCGUUCCCGCGCCCUCGGGUGGCACUCCGCGGAUCCGCGCUGGGCUCGGGCUUCGGCGGUGAAUUCCCCACCCCGAGAUGGGGGGCGGGGUUUCCCAGCCGCUGGCUCCACGCGGGUCGGUGAGGGGCUGUGGCUCCGACCCUCCUCGGGGCGCGCGCGGAGCCGGCCUUCCCCGGAGCGCGCUGGAGAGGUGUCCCCGGGAUCUUGCCGCGCCGGGGCGCAGGCCGGGGGCGACCCCGCGCGGGUCAUUCCCCGGCGAAGCCGCCUGGCGACCCUGCCAGGAGGGCGUGGGGGACUCGCGAGGCCAGCGCAGGGCGCUCGGGAGGGGACCCGACCCUUCGAGGGUACCUCUUGUUCGUCCGCACCGUCUCCUCCCCUGGCAUGGCUGGCCCAGGGUUCCAGAAGGGCCUGGCCAGGCCCUGGAUUUUCCUAGCACUUGCCUGAGCUCUGCAGGGAGGUGUCCUUCUCAGCUCGGGCACCUGGUGAUGACACGUUCGGAUCCAAGAGAAGGACCCAGGUGCCUUGAUGGGGACGACAGGGCCGAGUGUGGAGGAGACCCUGGGCGGAAGCCAACCUUCAGGGUCACACUGGCUCCCGGGGCCCAAAACGGGAGCCAGAGCAGCUGGAUCUGGGGCGGCCACCUCGACAGGGCUCUCACCACGUGCCUGGCCCUGGACGGACUUCUUGGAGUUACUAUUUCGUUGAGUCUUCAACGUGCUCCGCCCCUGGAAGUGGGCGUCAGCAUCCCCUUUCAUGCAGGCUCCGAGAGUUUGGGAACUUGUUCGAGAUGCCCCGUCUGUUCCCCGGCUGCCCCCAGGGUCCCGCAUCAGCCAGAGGUUGCCAGCAGAGGUUCGCCAGGGUGAGAAGCUUCCCCAGGCCGCCACACCGAUUUCCUGCCUGCAGAGAACUGGCCUCGGAUGACCUGGGGAAAACGAUGGAGGAGCCGGGAGCAGGAUUCAGCUCUGUAACGCCCGUCGCUGUCUCAGCCCCAGCUCGCGAGUUCAAGAACAACCCUGUUCCUCACAAGAGCCCGGAACCCCAGUGGCUGCCUGCGGGGGGCCCAGGAGGCAGCGUUUUUUUGUUGGGCUUCUCUGGGAGACCUGGCAGCAGCUUGGAAGCGCCUGCUGGGGUUGGACCCCCAUGGCUGUCACCCAGUGGCUCCGAAGACCCCCUGGGCUUGGCCUCCCUGACAGAGACAGGCAGAGAGAGAGAGAGAGAGAGAGAGAGAGAAAGGUCUUCCAUCCUCUGGUUCACCCUCCAAAUGGCUGCCACGGCCGGCGCUGCGCUGAUCUGAAGCCAGGAGCCAGGUGCUUCUCCUGGUCUCCCAUGUGAGUGCAGGGCCCAAGCACUUGGGCCAUCCUCCACUGCCUUCCCGGGCCACAGCAGAGAGCUGGACUGGAAGAGGAGCAACUGGGACAGAAUCCGGCGCCCCGACCGGGACUAGACCGGGACAGAGGAUUAGCCUAGUGAGCCGCGGCGCCAGCCCACUGUUCACCUUAUAAAUAAACUUUA